AGCGAACGCUGGCGGCGUGCUUAACACAUGCAAGUCGAACGGAUCCGGGGGGCAACCCUCGGGUCAGUGGCGAACGGGUGAGUAACACGUGGGUCAUCUCCCCCCGAGUGAGGAAUAAGCUUGCGAAAGCGGGUCUAAUACCGCAUGAAACUCCGGGACAUAAGUCUUCGGAGUCAAAGCCGUAAGGCGCUUGGGGAUGAGCCUGCGUCCUAUUAGCUAGUUGGUAGGGUAAUGGCCUACCAAGGCGAUGAUGGGUAGCCGGCCUGAGAGGGUGAACGGCCACACUGGGACUGAGACACGGCCCAGACUCCUACGGGUGGCAG
rnacentral:rRNA from 1 species